AGUGAACGCUGGCGGUAGGCCUAACACAUGCAAGUCGAACGGCAGCACAGUAAGAGCUUGCUCUUACGGGUGGCGAGUGGCGGACGGGUGAGGAAUACAUCGGAAUCUACUUUUUCGUGGGGGAUAACGUAGGGAAACUUACGCUAAUACCGCAUACGACCUACGGGUGAAAGCAGGGGAUCUUCGGACCUUGCGCGAUUGAAUGAGCCGAUGUCGGAUUAGCUAGUUGGCGGGGUAAAGGCCCACCAAGGCGACGAUCCGUAGCUGGUCUGAGAGGAUGAUCAGCCACACUGGAAUGGAGAAACGGUCCAACCUCCUACGGGGGGAAGCAGGGGGGAAUUUGGGCAAAUGGGGGAAAGCCUGACCCAGCCAUACCGGGGGGGUGAAGAAGGCCUUGGGGUUGUAAAGCCCUUUUGUUGGGAAAAAAAAGCAGCAGUUUAAAACCCCGCUGUUCUGACGGUACCAAAAGAAAAAGCACCGGUUAACUUCGU
rnacentral:rRNA from 1 species